CAAAAACAUCGCCUCUUGCAAGAUAAGAAUAAGAGGUCCUGCCUGCCCUGUGAGCAUUAUUUCAACGGCCGCAGUAUUUUGACUGUGCGAAGGUAGCGAAAUCACUUGUCUCUUAAAUAGAGACCCGUAUGAAAGGCAAGACGAGGGUUUAACUGUCUCCCUUUUCAGGUCAAUGAAAUUGAUCUCCCCGUGCAGAAGCGGGGAUAAUUACAUUAGACGAGAAGACCCUAUGGAGCUUUAGACACAAAAGCAGCUCACGUCAAAUACUCUCAGACUAAAAGACCGAACUAAAUGCGAUCUGCCCUAAUGUCUUCGGUUGGGGCGACCAAGGGGAAAACAAAACCCCCAUGAGGAAUGAAACUAUAAACCUCCCUUAACCCAGAGCGCCAGCUCUAAGUACCAGAAAUUCUGACCAUUCUGACCCGGCAAGGCCGAUUAACGAACCAAGUUACCCUAGGGAUAACAGCGCAAUCCCCUUCCAGAGUCCCUAUCGACAAGGGGGUUUACGACCUCGAUGUUGGAUCAGGACAUCCUAAUGGUGCAGCCGCUAUUAAGGGUUCGUUUGUUCAACGAUUAAAGUCCUACGUGAUCU
rnacentral:rRNA from 1 species